AACGAACGCUGGCGGCACGUUUUAAGCAUGCAAGUCGAACGGCAGUGGGGGCAACCCCAUGAGAGUGGCGAACGGGUGAGUAACACGUAGGUGAUCUGCCUUUGGGUUGGGGAUAGCUUGUGGAAACACAGGGUAAUACCGAAUGAGCUGACGAUGCUUUGGCCAUGUUAGUAAAGGUGCUACGGCACCGCCUAGAGAGGAGCCGGCGGCUGAUUAGCUAGUUGGUGGGGUAAAGGCCUAACAAGGCGAAGAUCAGUAGCCGGCCUGAGAGGGAGUACGGCCACACUGGAACUGAGACACGGUCCAGACUCCUACGGGAGGCAGCAGCUAAGAAUCUUCCGCAAUGGGCGAAAGCCUGACGGAGCGAUGCCGCGUGAUCGAUGAAGGUCGAGAGAUUGUAAAGAUCUUUUCCAACUGAGGAAUAAGUGGACCAGGGAAUGGGUUCAUGAUGACGUUAAGUUGGGAAUAAGCCCCGGCUAAUUACGUGCCAGCCGCCGCCGUAA
rnacentral:rRNA from 1 species